UACGGAGGGUGCAAGCGUUGUUCGGAAUUAUUGGGCGUAAAGGGCGUGUAGGUGGCCUUUCAAGUCUGGUGUGAAAUCCCACGGCUCAACCGUGGAACUGCAUUGGAAACUGGAUGGCUCGAGGGUUGGAGGGGGUCGCGGAAUUCCCGGUGUAGAGGUGAAAUUCGUAGAUAUCGGGAGGAACACCAGUGGCGAAGGCGGCGACCUGGCCAAUCACUGACACUGAGACGCGAAAGCGUGGGGAGCAAACAGG
rnacentral:rRNA from 1 species